ensembl:snRNA U6 U6 spliceosomal RNA
AUGCUCACUUUAUCAGCACAUAUACUAAAAUUGACCAAUACAGAGAAGAUUAGCAUGGCCCCUCCACAAGGAUGACAUGCAAAUUCAUGACAUGUUUCAUAUUUUU